CAAUUUAUAGCAUAAAUUAAUGCAUUUUAUUUACAUUAAAAUAAUAUUCUAAAAAAUUAAAUUGA
rnacentral:tRNA from 1 species